ACUGUGGUGGACUUUUGGUGGAGGAACUAAACUGACGAUCACUGGUCCCGCAGUGAAGCCCUCCGUGUCUCUGCUGCCUCCCUCUUCUCUGCAGAUCUCUGGAGACUCAGCCGCACUGCUCUGUCUGCUCAGCUCUUACUCUCCACAGGGGGCGCGCAGGUGAGCUGGAGGCUGGACGGGUCAGAGGUCACCGAGGGGGUUCAGACCAGCGCAGAGAGCGAGCGGGACGGACGCUACAGCCGCAGCAGCGUCCUGAGCCUCAGCAAAGCACGCUGGGAAGCCGGCGAGCGCUUCGUCUGCAGAGUAACACAUGACGGAGCUGCUCAGGAGACCUCGUUCCUCAAGAGCUCCGAGUGCUGAUGUUUCUCCAGUGAAGAGCAGCAGGAUUCACAGCGGUCUCCUGAUUUACAGCUCAAUACUCAAGCAGUCUUUCAAUCUGCUGCCAUUGCUGUUCAUUCAAUAAAGCUUCUGAACGCCUUA